UUUAUGGAGAGUUUGAUCCUGGCUCAGGAUGAACGCUGGCGGCGUGCCUAAUACAUGCAAGUCGAGCGAACGGACGAGAAGCUUGCUUCUCUGAUGUUA
rnacentral:rRNA from 1 species